GACGAACGCUGGCGGCGUGCUUACCCCAUGCAAUUCGAACGGAAACGCCCUUCUUUCUUCGGGUGCUCGGGUGGCGAACGGGUGGGUCACCCGUGAGUACCCUGCCCUUGACUUUGGGAUAACUUCAGGGAACUGGGGCUACUACCGGAUACGCGCCCCUGCUGCAUGGUGGCGGCUGGACAGUUUCGGCGGUUGCUGAUGGACUCGCGGCCUAUCAGCCUGUUGGUGGGGUAGUGGCUUACCAAGCCUGUAACGGGUAGCCUGCCUGAGUGGGGGAGCGGCCACGCUGGGACUGAGAUGCGGCCCAGACUGCUACGGGAGGCAGCAGUGGGGAAGAUGGCACAAUGGGCGGGAGCAGGAUGCAGCAACGCCACGAGCGGGAUGAAGGCCUUCGGGUUGUAAACGGCUUUCGCCGGUGACGAAGAGGGAGGGACGGUAAUUGGUAAAGAAGCACCGGAGAACUACGUG
rnacentral:rRNA from 1 species